ACAUGCCUACAUCAUAGUGUUAAUGCACUGGAUCCCAUUAGAAUUUUGCAGUUAAGUGUGCUCAUGAUAGAGUAGUAUCGGGAUGGGUGACCGCCUGGGAAGUCCUAGUGUUUUACAUGCC
rnacentral:rRNA from 1 species